GGCGCCUACGGGACGCAGCAGUAGGGAAUCUUCGGCAAUGGGCGAAAGCCUGACUGAGCAACGCCGCGUGAAUGAAGAAGGCCUUCGGGCUGUAAAAUUCUGUUAUAAGGGAAGAAAGGUGAUAGGAGGAAAUGACCAUCAAUUGACGGUACCUUAUGAGAAAGCCACGGCUAACUACGUGCCAGCAGCCGCGGUAAUACGUAGGUGGCAAGCGUUAUCCGGAAUUAUUGGGCGUAAAGAGCGCGCAGGUGGGUAAUUAAGUCUGAUGUGAAAGCCCACGGCUUAACCGUGGAGGGUCAUUGGAA
rnacentral:rRNA from 1 species